UAAUGAGGUCAGUGCUUCUUAGAUGCUGCUCUGAAGAUUGAAGCAUGUGUGUGUCUCAUCUUUAGUGUCUGGCAUUAUUAAAACAAUCUUAACCAAUAGUCUUUGGAUUUAUAAAAGCAAGUGGAGUGUACCAAAUGAUCUGAGCAUCAGAAAUAAGGGAAGCCAGUGUAAGGAGCGCUGAAGGAGCAUUUGGAGAGAUGGAGAGAUGAACGUGUGUUCUCCAGCAGGAUGAUGGGAGAUGAGGAAGAG